rnacentral:rRNA from 1 species
UACGAAGGGGGCUAGCGUUGCUCGGAAUCACUGGGCGUAAAGGGUGCGUAGGCGGGUCUUUAAGUCAGGGGUGAAAUCCCGGAGCUCAACUCCAGAACUGCCUUUGAUACUGAGGAUCUUGAGUUCGGGAGAGGUGAGUGGAACUGCGAGUGUAGAGGUGAAAUUCGUAGAUAUUCGCAAGAACACCAGUGGCGAAGGCGGCUCACUGGCCCGAUACUGACGCUGAGGCACGAAAGCGUGGGGAGCGAACAGG